UACGAAGGGGGCUAGCGUUGCUCGGAAUCACUGGGCGUAAAGGGGUGCGUAGGCGGGUCUUUAAGUCAGGGGUGAAAUCCUGGAGCUCAACUCCAGAACUGCCUUUGAUACUGAGGAUCUUGAGUUCGGGAGAGGUGAGUGGAACUGCGAGUGUAGAGGUGAAAUUCGUAGAUAUUCGCAAGAACACCAGUGGCGAAGGCGGCUCACUGGCCCGAUACUGACGCUGAGGCACGAAAGCGUGGGGGAGCAAACAGG
rnacentral:rRNA from 1 species